CCCUUAGACGUUCUGGGCCGCACGCGCGCUACACUGACGAAGGCAACGAGCUUUCCUUUACCGAAAGGUACGGGUAAUCUUUUGAAACUUCGUCGUGCUGGGGAUAGAUCCUUGCAAUUUUUGAUCUUAAACGAGGAAUGCCUAGUAAGCGCAAGUCACCAACUUGCGUUGAUUACGUCCCUGCCCUUUGUACACACCGCCCGUCGCUACUACCGAUUGAAUGGUUUAGUGAGGCCUUCGGAUCCGCGACUCGUUUGUGGAGAAGUUGGACAAACUCAGUCAUUUAGAGGAAGUAAAAGUCGUAACA
rnacentral:rRNA from 1 species